GAUGAAGAACGUAGCGAAAUGCGAUAAGUAAUGUGAAUUGCAGAAUUCAGUGAAUCAUCGAAUCUUUGAACGCACAUUGCGCCCGCCAGUAUUCUGGCGGGCAUGCCUGUCCGAGCGUCAUUUCAACCAUCAGGCCCCGGGCCUGUGUUGGGGACCUGCGGCUGACCGCAGGCCCCGAAAUCCAGUGGCGGGCUCGCUGACACACCGAGCGUAGUAGCAUACACCUCGCUCAGGGAGUGCCGCGGGUUCCGGCCGUAAAGCCGCCCUUCAAGCACAAGGUUGACCUCGGAUCAGGUAGGAAUACCCGCUGAACUUAAGCAUAUCAAUAAGCGGAGGA
rnacentral:misc_RNA from 1 species